ensembl:snRNA U6 U6 spliceosomal RNA
GGGGUUAAGAUUUUGGCAUCACAAGAAUUAUAAUUGGAAUAAUAUAGAGAAGAUUAACAUGGUCCCUCUGUAAAGAUGGCAUGCAAAUUGAAGAAACAUUCCAUUACUCC